CAACUACUUCCUGUCCCAAAUUUCUUUUCUUAGAUUUGUCUAGAUACGGAUGUAUCUAAUACUAAAAUGUGACUUGAUACAUCUGUAUCUAGAAAAAUCUAAGACAAGAAUUUUGGGACGGAGGGAGUACUUU
rfam:Triticum aestivum genome assembly, contig: Triticum_aestivum_CS42_TGACv1_scaffold_471480_6AL